rnacentral:rRNA from 1 species
UGGCGACCGGCGCACGGGUGAGUAACACGUAUCCAACCUGCCGAUAACUCGGGGAUAGCCUUUCGAAAGAAAGAUUAAUAUCCGAUAGCAUAUCAAGAUCGCAUGAUCUUGAUAUUAAAGAAUUUCGGUUAUCGAUGGGGAUGCGUUCCAUUAGUUAGUUGGCGGGGUAACGGCCCACCAAGACGACGAUGGAUAGGGGUUCCGAGAGGAAGGUCCCCCACAUUGGAACUGAGACACGGUCCAAACUCCUACGGGAGGCAGCAG